GAUGAACGCUGGCGGCGUGCCUAAUACAUGCAAGUCGAGCGAACAGACGAGGAGCUUGCUCCUCUGACGUUAGCGGCGGACGGGUGAGUAACACGUGGAUAACCUACCUAUAAGACUGGGAUAACUUCGGGAAACCGGAGCUAAUACCGGAUAAUAUAUUGAACCGCAUGGUUCAAUAGUGAAAGCCGGUUUUGCUGUCACUUAUAGAUGGAUCCGCGCUGCAUUAGCUAGUUGGUAAGGUAACGGCUUACCAAGGCAACGAUGCGUAGCCGACCUGAGAGGGUGAUCGGCCACACUGGAACUGAGACACGGUCCAGACUCCUACGGGAGGCAGCAGUAGGGAAUCUUCCGCAAUGGGCGAAAGCCUGACGGAGCAACGCCGCGUGAGUGAUGAAGGUCUUCGGAUCGUAAAACUCUGUUAUUAGGGAAGAACAAAUGUGUAAGUAACUAUGCACGUCUUGACGGUACCUAAUCAGAAAGCCACGGCUAACUACGUG
rnacentral:rRNA from 1 species